rnacentral:lncRNA from 1 species
UUUUUUUUUGCUUUUUAGGGCCACACCCACAGCAUAUGGAGACUCCCAGGCUAGGGGUCUAAUUGGUGUUACAGCUGCCAGCCUAAGCCACAGCCACAGCAACACAGGAUCUGAGCUGCGUCUGUGACCUAUACCAUAGCUCACAGCAAUGCCGGAUCCUUAACCCACUAAGCAAGGCCAGGGAUUGAACCUGCAACCUCAUGGUUACUAGUCGGAUUUGUUUCCACUGCACCACAAUGGGAACUCCCUACAAUACCUUCCUUAAUGUCUUCUUCAUAGAACUUUGAAUUUAAGAGGAUAAAUGACUAUCUGUAAGUACUGAGAUGUUGACUUUAACAAAUCUCAUAACUACAUGUCUUAUUUUCCAACUAGAUGAUAAAUGACUAAAAGGUAUGGAUCAAUUUUUUUUUUUUUAAGGAUCUUUGAUGGGCAUUGAACAGUGUUUUUAAAUGGUGGGUAUUUAAAAGCUUCAAAGAUGUUUGUGAAAUCCUAUGCUGACAUUGUUGGUAUUUCUCCUUAAUUUGCUCAGACAUUGUAAGCCAUGUGUGGUAGGAAAUGGAGGGCAAAAUGAGGCCGAUAUAACCUCCCUGAAGGUCAGCCAGCAAGCUGGGGGGAAGGACAGAAUUAGAACUCACACCCCUUCAUUUUCCAGGCUGAUGCUUAGCCCACUGAACCCCACUGCCUCUGACUCAGUGCAUUAAUAUAGACUGUGAAACACAGAUUGCCUGAACAUAUGGCAGAGAGGAUGAGAAGAUAAUAUUCCAUAGCAGGAUUCGUUCCUGCAGACGGGUGGCUGCAAAGGCUGUUUUUCUGCAAAGGAUUCAGCAAGUGAAGCGUUAAGUCCUUUUCUUAUUUCUGUCUCCAAAUGAAACAACUUUUCCCCUUGAAUGAGAUCAAUUUCUGGGCAUUCCUAUUGUCGGGGGAAGCUGGUAGAAGUGAGGCCAGGAGGUGUGCAGGCCUCCCCAUAGGCUUUGGGGAAUAAACAAUAAAUCCCACGCUGAGCACUCAGUGCCAGACCUGGAGGGGUGACUAACAAUUGUUCCCUCUCCUUCCUCAGCAAACCACAACCUGUAUUUAGGACACAGGUUCUAGAAUCUAGAUGCUUUGAAUUCUCCUUUGCAGUAAUCUUCAAAAUUCUAUGCUCUUUAUACAAUCUAUUUCUUUAUUUCUAUAACUAGAUGCCACUAAUAAUCUAGUUUAAGGGCUUCAUAAAAUACAUUGGGCAAGUUUUCUUGAGCACGACACAGAAAUAUAAAGUUUAUAGGGAGGAGAAGGAAAUCAGAGCAGAUGAAACAGCAUUCAAGGCUUCAAAGGCAGAGAGUCCAAAAGUGUCAAGACUUAGAACAUGGUUUAGGGCUAUAGUUUUCAUAUUAGUGGAGUUUUAGUAAUAAUUUUGUCCAACUCGUAGGUUUGUCAUGAGGCCUAAAUGAGACAAAACACAGAAGCACAUAACAUUGAGACUGGCACACAGUAAACACUACUAAAAGGUAGCUGCUCUUAUAAUUUUACCAUUGCUAUUACUAUUGCUUUUGCUAUUAUUAUAGAUCUAUUCCAACAAGUUAGAUUCAAUGCCUUAUUCUAGUUUGGAAUUUAUGUAGAAUGUCAAUGAGACUCCAAUGAUCUGACCAUAAAUGACAGGUCCUCCAACCACAGAGGAAGAGCGAGAGAGAAGGAAGGAGAGAAAGAGAAGAGGGGGAUAGGGGGGUGGGGAGAAGGAAAGCAUGAAAUGUUCUGGUGGCAACAAAAACAGAUUCUAUGGGAAAAUGGUGUUUGAAGGUCUAGGCCAUGUUGACUGGCUCAGCAUGCCCUGUGCCAAACUGAAGAUUUGUAUCCUUUACUGUUAGGGGCUGAACUCUUUCAUGCCUGCCUGCUGGACCCCUACCUUCACCCUGGAAAAGUCAUAUAUUGAAAUUCUGCAGUACCUUCAGAAUGUGACUGUAUUUGAAAAUAAGGUCUUUAAAGAAGUGAUUCAAUUAAAACUAUAUCAUUAGGGUGGGCCGUGAUCCAAUACUAUUAUGGCAGCUUAGCGAACUGUGGAGAUUUCAUAUUUUAGUUUAAUUCCAAAAGGUGGCUUUCUUUAUCAACCCAAAUGCCGACAAAAAUAGGCUGAGGCCUGGUAUUCCCCUGGAAUUCCAGUUCUACUCUUCCUUUCUCCUAAGUCAAAGAGUACAUGGUUGAUCUUUAAGGCACCCUCCAAAUCAGCACUUAAUUUUUUCAGCCAACCAAUUUCAGCCAGCUUUUCAUCAGGUACUCCCCUUCCCCAUCACCCUUUCAGAGUCUUGACUAGUAUGUGGUUGGCAUUGCUUCCUAGCUACACCCUGGGGUCUAGCCUAUCCAACACCUAGAAGAGGGGCUUAAAGAAUUCUAAGUCAAUGUUUUAAUCAGACAAUGCAAUGCCUGCCAAGAUAAUGCCUCCAGAAUACCCUGGAAUCAACUGUUAAUAAAAAGAAAACAAAAAAAUCAUUGUGUGUUUUUUUCCCUCAUAGAGAAAAAAAAUUUUUUUAACCUAGGUGUACCCCAAAUUAAAUAGCUAUCAAAGAAAGCUCCUGCAUUAGCUGUCAGUUCAUAGCAACUUCAAUCAGCUAAUGUGCCUGAGCCUGCGGGAAUAUCUCCCUAGCAGCCUCCCACAUGCUGAACUUGACUGCUCUGUGUGAGCCACAUUAAACCUGUCUGCCAUCAAUCUCCAGGUUUCCUCUGCAGCAGUAACUUAACUAGGUGAGGGAGCUGGCGUCAUCAACAGGCACAUGCUAUUAUAGAGGGACUGAGAGAUGCUGAGAGAAGAGCAGUGGUGGAGAAAAGCUAGAUGUAGGCCAUUAAGCAACAGGGUUUUUCUCCUAAGAUUUUCAUGUAUUGUCAUUUCUACGCAGAUGUGUUGUUUUCGAACUUCCUAACAUCAAAACGUGCAGUGGAAGAUGAGUUAGGAAGCACUAAAUCCCAGCAGCAGUCUGGUCACCUUUCUAUAAUUUUAUCUUUUAGAGAAACUGAAGGACACUAUGGCAGUAUCUCUCCACACACACCUCUUAGAGAUGGAGACCCAUCUCCAAUGAGGAUGGGCUAAAACUUCUUUCAGAAUUCACAGCCAAGAAACACUAAGAAAAGCAUGUUUUCUUUUUGCCUUCUCAGACAAGUCUGCCUUGAAGCAUAUUCACAGUUUGUACCUUAGGGGGUGCUGAUUUGGCUUACCCCCAAUGCUGCAGAUGAAAGGGGCCUCACCUCUGGCAAGAGGACCAGAAUUAGAAGUAACUCAGUAACUAAACAGAGAAAUAAGCCCGAACCAACUCUGCACAAGCAACCCAAAUACCACAUGGGCAGCUCAGACUUCCCCAUCGUCACUCCCUUCCUGGAGGCCAGUUUCACAGAUUGCUUGAAGACCACAGCAGGGCUGGAUCUGGGGAGGUUUCUGGGAAUAGAAGCUGAACUUCUAUUUGAAAUGCCUCCCUCCUGCUGUUCUUAAAUAACACUGACAACAAUAAUAGGCAUUUAUACCAAUAGGGUCCUUCAGAACCUUUAUUAAAUCCUUCCAAAUAUACUCUCUUGCUUCUAUCCAGCAAAGAUAAUAUGGUUUGUGGCAGGUGUCCAGAAGAUGGCUGCAUAGCUUUUGGCUAUUGGAACUACCUGCUGUCUAAAAUAACUCCUUUAUUUGUGUCCUGGCUCUGACAAAUGCCCAGCAAAAGCACUGGCCUGCAAUUUUUUUUUUUUUUUGACCCGGUAAUGUGGUAUGCUAUUUUUUUUUUUAAACCAGACACUCAGUAAUGAGACCUUAAAUAAUCCACUUGCCAGAUCACACAUUCAAAUGUGUGAAUCACAUCUGAAUUAUCCUUGCAAUCUAGUGACCAUCCAGUCUGGGCUUGAAAUCUUGGGAUGGAGAACGUAAAAGUAACCAUCUCCUUCAUACUAGUUCUCACUGAACAUCACUUCCCCCUUAGACUGCUUAAACUCUUUUCACUAAUUUCAUUUAACCCAUCCCUUUCCCCUAAAGCCAUGAGUAUAACAGCAGUUUGUAAAGAACAUGGCCAGUGUUGGAAGAGUAACAUUUUUUUUCAUAUCUUUUAUUAUACAAUUUGGGAUAAUUCUCUAAUGACACAAACUGACAUAGUGAAGAGGGUUAAGACCUUGAGUAAGAAGAUUCAGGUGUGAGUCCCAGCUUGAUCAAUUACUACCUUGUAAAUUGGGAGGCCUAUCAAUCUCCUAUCUAUUUAUAAGACGGGAAUAAAUCCCUGUGUCCUCAAGAGGGUUGUUGAGAGAGUUAAAUGGGAUAAUAUAUGUGAAAAGAAUUUGUAAAUGGUAAAUUGCUACAUAUUCAUAAAUUGUUUGUUCCUUUUUUUUUUUUUAACUUUUAGGUUACUCCUUGGAAAUUUGUGCCAAAGUGGGUAAAAAAAGGGAAAGGGGCAAGAGUGCAGUGAUUUAAUUAGAUCCACAGGACAUUGCCUUCACAUGAGUAGUUGGAGGCCCCAGCCCUUUGGAUUUCAACACAUUGCUAUGUGGUAACUUAAUAUGCAAAUGAAAGGCCUCAGAGGGCACCCAGUCUCCACAUGUGCCAAUUAAUCAAAGAAAACAGUAUCAUCCUCUAAUUCUACUAAUUAGAGGAUCAUCCAUAAGCUACUAGGUUUCUGAGCUACUGAGAUUUAAUAAAUUUGCAAUAAAUUAUGAGUAAUACAUUAGCCAGAGACUCAAUUGCUACUGAGCAAUAGAAUGAAAGGAGGGCUCAGGAUAUCUGUAUAUUUAAAGGUUUUUUUUUUUCCCUAAUUUCCUUUUUGUUAUUUUCCAUCCUAAAAUAUUCUUAACACUUUAGUUGUGUGGGGCCAUAGAUCCCCAUGGUGCAACUGUUGAGUAAUGUGGUUUAAUUCAACAACUUAACAAAUGUAUAAUUCAUCCAAAUGGUUACUUGCUUUAAAAUAGUCACUUCACGAAUUUAUACACUUAUUCCAAUGAUACCACCACUGCUAAAAGUUAGGGAAUUCUUUGAGAAUUGACCUCAUAUACUUAUUUAUUCACUUGAAUUUCCUCAAAAAUGGCAAAUUAUCAGCUCUGGGGAGAUUUGAAUUUGAAGCCAGAUAGAAGAUGUCUAGAUCUACUCUGGCUCCUUAGGAAAGUGAGCAAGCAGAAUAAUCCUAUUUGUUAUUGCUUGAAGGACUCAUCUCAUCACCUAUAAGAUUAUGUGAGAGGAUUGACAGUGCUCAAACAAAACUCUGGCUAUUAGAUUUGAAUUCCAUUACAAGAUGGGAUUGAUUGGGGGUAUAUUGAAUAUAUCUGGUUUAAAUCUGUUUAAGAGGCUUUUAACCUACUCAGAGUACAAGUAUGAGAGAUGGGGGCCUCUGUUCAUGCUGUCCCUAUACCUAGGAUGUUUUGUUUCAAUUAAAACCCUACCCAUUAUUUAAUGUUCAGUGGUAUAUGCCACCUCAAUUAAUAAAGGUUUUCCCAAUAGACACUAAAUGGCAUGUUGGUUCUUUGAGCUUUCAUUAGAUCUGCUUUAGACCUCUCUUAUGGUACCUGUUACUUUCUGUGUUUUAUUGUGUUUCUGUGUAUUAUUCUUUUUACUGUGUUUGAUCUCAUAUAGCUCUUAUCAAUUCUCAUAGAUAGUAAACUAUUAGGGAGUAGGAUUUGUAUCUGAUUCUUCUUGAUAUCUCACAUAAGCAGCUUGAGCCUUGAAUAUUUUAUUUACUGAAUAAAUAUUAGUUGAAUAAUGAGUUAUAAAGCAGACUGGAGGUUAUAUUCAUAUCUAUAUCUAUUUCUAUAAAGAAACUCCUAUAUCACCACUUCUGUUCAGCAUUAUGGGGAGGUCCCAGCUGGUGCAUAGGACAAGAAGAAAAAGUGUAAGGAUUAGAAGGAAAGGAAGAAAAAUGUCCAUUAUGCAAAAGUGAAAAAUUAUCUAUAAACCCAAUAGGAGUUCCUGUUGUGGCACAGUGGAAACAAACUGACUAGUAUCCAUGAGGAUGUGGGUUCAAUUCCUGGCCUCACUCAGUGGGUUAAGGAUCUGGCGUUGCCAUGAGCUGUGGUGUAGGUCGCAGACAAGGCUCAGAUCUGGCGUUGCUGUGGCUGUGGUGUAGGCCAGCAGCUGCAGCUCAGAUUAGACUCUUAGCCUGGGGACUUCCAUAUGUUGCAGGUGCAGACUG